UGGGGAAUUUUGGACAAUGGGCGAAAGCCUGAUCCAGCAAUGCCGCGUGUGUGAAGAAGGCCUUCGGGUUGUAAAGCACUUUUGUCCGGAAAGAAAUCCUUGGCUCUAAUACAGUCGGGGGAUGACGGUACCGGAAGAAUAAGCACCGGCUAACUACGUGCCAGCAGCCGCGGUAAUACGUAGGGUGCAAGCGUUAAUCGGAAUUACUGGGCGUAAAGCGUGCGCAGGCGGUUUGCUAAGACCGAUGUGAAAUCCCCGGGCUCAACCUGGGAACUGCAUUGGUGACUGGCAGGCUAGAGUAUGGCAGAGGGGGGUAGAAUUCCACGUGUAGCAGUGAAAUGCGCAGAGAUGUGGAGGAAUACCGAUGGCGAAGGCAGCCCCCUGGGCCAAUACUGACGCUCAUGCACGAAAGCGUGGGGAGCAAACAGGAUUAGAUACCCUGGUAGUCCACGCCCUAAACGAUGUCAACUAGUUGUUGGGGAUUCAUUUCCUUAGUAACGUAGCUAACGCGUGAAGUUGACCGCCUGGGGAGUACGGUCGCAAGAUUAAAACUUAAAUGAAUUGACGGGGUCAUAGCUGUUUCCU
rnacentral:rRNA from 1 species